rnacentral:rRNA from 1 species
AUUACAACAGCUAUGAAUUAAUUGAUUAUGACAUUUUUCCUCUAUGGAUAACUGCGGUAAUUCUGGAGCUAAUACAUGCAUUAAUGCGGCGUCACUAGUUGGCGCCGUGCACUUAUUAGAACAAAACCAAUUCGUUGAUUUUGUUGACUCGGGAUAAUUUUAUCGCUGAUUGCAUGGCCUUCGUGCCGGCAAUAUGUCAAAGCUGUAUCUGCCCUAUCACACUUCCAACGGCAGUGUCUUGUUCUGACGUGGUUGUGACGGGUAACGGAGAAUUAGGGUUCGACUCCGGAGAAAUAGCCUGAGAAACGGCUUUUACAUCCAAGGAAGGCAGCAGGCGCGAAAAUUACCCACUCUUAGUACGAGGAGGUAGUGACGAGAAGUGACAAGACCUGUCCCUUCGGGGGCGGGUCAUUGGAAUGGUUAGAAUUUACAACCUUCCAAGAUUAUCUAUGAGAGGGCAAGUCUGGUGCCAGCAGCCGCGGUAAUUCCAGCUCUCAUACUGCAUUGAAUCGUUGUUGCGGUUAAAAAGCUCGUAGUUGGAUUGACACACGGUGUCUGUGGACUGCUCCUAGUGAGUGGUUCUGCAGCACGUGUUUAAUGUCGGUGUGUGGCUGACUUCGGUCAGUUACUGCUGAUGAGUUUACUUUGAAUAAAUCAGAGUGCUCAAAACAGGCGUAAGCUUGUAUGGUUUUGCAUGGAAUAAUGGAAUACGACACUGCGUGUGUUGUUUUUCGUUGGUUUUGCGUACCUGUGUCAUGAUUAAAAGGGACAAACGGG